GGCUUGUGGCAGCGGCAGCCAAGCGGCCAAGCGUUCACAAGCGUUCAUAAGCGUUCAUAGCGGUUCAUAGCGACUAGCGACGUUGCUUUUUGAUCCUUCGAUGUCGGCUCUUCCUAUCAUUGUGAAGCAGAAUUCACCAAGUGUUGGAUUGUUCAAACACCUAUAGGGAACGUGAGCUGGGUUUAGACCGUCGUGAUACAGGUUAGUUUUACCCUACUGAUGACAGUGUCGC
rnacentral:ncRNA from 1 species